UACAUAUGCCUAGAUCUCAGAUAAAUAGAAAUUUUAUUGACAAGACCUUUUCUAUUGUAGCCAAUAUCUUAUUACGAAUAAUUCCGACAACCUCGGGAGAAAAGGAGGCAUUUACUUAUUACAAAGAUGGGAUGACAGCGAAUCUGAAGC